rnacentral:tRNA from 1 species
GCGGUUUUAGUUUAUUUAGAAUGAUAGUUUGUCUAGCUAUAGGUGAUGUUAUCAGACUGCU